AUCAUCUACAAUGUAUUCUAUAAGAUGUAUGUAUAUAUAUAUAUGUGUGUGUGUGUGUGUGUGUGUGUGUGUGUAUAUAUAUAUAUAUAUAUAUAUAUAUGAUGUAUAUCAUAUACUAUAC
rnacentral:miRNA from 1 species